rnacentral:lncRNA from 1 species
GCGCCGCGGCAGGUCGCCUCCACUCCACUCCUCCUCGUUUCAGAGCGACGCCGACGCCCCGCGGUUGCCGACGUACUUCGUCGGGAAGCAAAGUAGAGAAGCAAGCAAAAACCGGCGGACGACCGAAUCGCCGCGGAACGGAAGCGCGCGCGCGCUCCCUCCCUCCCUCCCUCGCGUUCGCGUGGCGCGCGUGGGUGUGUCUGUGUCUACUCUCUUUUCUUUCCCCCCGCGUCUCUUUGUCAGCUGCUGCGCUUUGGGGUUGCUCGGGUCGCGUCUCGUCGCGGUCGCCAGACGCUCGACUGGACUGGAGGCUGCUGCUCCAGCGGCGCGAGGGAUCACGGUGGCGCGCGGU